rnacentral:lncRNA from 1 species
AGAAAAAAGAAUUAAUGUUAUCUUAGGGAGAACUUUUACUGGAAGUUUAAAUAGAUUAGAAGUCAAGAUAUUUUCAGUGGAAAUGAGGCUUUUGCAUCACAUGGUGACCAAGCUCUUUGUCCCUAGGAGUGGUAGGCAUGACCUCUUAUCUGGUAGGGAUAUUUGUAUCAUAUACCAUAUAAUCACCCAAACCCCCUUGAACCUUCCUGCUUUGAUGUUUGAGGCCAUGAGGG